AAAGUGCGAAAAGUGUCAUGACUUGCAGAUUCCCGAGAGCUGACAAAUCUCUGAAUGCAAAUGGCAGCCGAGUGAGACCCGGCUAUGUAUUGUAGAGUGUAGACGCUCCAGCUAUUCAUCAUUCCCUCAUCAUCUAUCUGAUCGAGCGAAUGUAUCUGCGCUUGUACACUAGUACUUCACUACUAGCUGUACGAGUGUUAAAUGUAAAGGUCGGUGAAGGAGAGAGAGUCUUCUCUCUCUUCUUCACAAGGAGCACCGAUGAAAUAUUCAUUAUCAUUGAGUGUCUUCGAACAACGCACCCCAAUCAUAUAAAUUUCAUGAGCCACCUCUAUGAUGCAUGAUAACCCGCUGAACUUAA
rnacentral:misc_RNA from 1 species